rnacentral:rRNA from 1 species
UAGGGAAUCUUCGGCAAUGGGGGGAACCCUGACCGAGCAACGCCGCGUGAGUGAAGAAGGUUUUCGGAUCGUAAAGCUCUGUUGUUAAGGAAGAACGAGUGUGAGAAUGGAAAGUUCAUGCUGUGACGGUACUUAACCAGAAAGGGACGGCUAACUACGUGCCAGCAGCCGCGGUAAUACGUAGGUCCCGAGCGUUGUCCGGAUUUAUUGGGCGUAAAGCGAGCGCAGGCGGUUAGAAAAGUCUGAAGUGAAAGGCAGUGGCUCAACCAUUGUAGGCUUUGGAAACUGUUUAACUUGAGUGCAGAAGGGGAGAGUGGAAGUCCAUGUGUAGCGGUGAAAUGCGUAGAUAUAUGGAGGAACACCGGUGGCGAAAGCGGCUCUCUGGUCUGUAACUGACGCUGAGGCUAGAAAGCGUGGGGAGCGAACAGG